rnacentral:rRNA from 1 species
AGAGUUUGAUCCUGGCUCAGGAUGAACGCCGGCGGUGUGCCUAAUACAUGCAAGUCGUACGCACUGGCCCAACUGAUUAAUGGUGCUUGCACCUGAUUGACGAUGGAUCACCAGUGAGUGGCGGACGGGUGAGUAACACGUAGGUAACCUGCCCCGG